rnacentral:rRNA from 1 species
UACGUAGGGUGCAAGCGUUGUCCGGAAUUUAUUGGGCGUAAAGAGCUCGUAGGCGGUUUGUCGCGUCUGCUGUGAAAACCCGAGGCUCAACCUCGGGCCUGCAGUGGGUACGGGCAGACUAGAGUGCGGUAGGGGAGAUUGGAAUUCCUGGUGUAGCGGUGGAAUGCGCAGAUAUCAGGAGGAACACCAAUGGCGAAGGCAGAUCUCUGGGCCGUAACUGACGCUGGAGGUGCGAAAGCGUGGGGAGCAAACAGG